rnacentral:pre_miRNA from 1 species
GACCCUGGUCUGCACUCUGUCUGGAAACUUACAGAAGGGAGAGCAGGGCAGGGUUUC